rnacentral:rRNA from 1 species
GACGAACGCUGGCGGCGUGCUUAACACAUGCAAGUCGAACGGAAAGGCCCUGCUUUUGUGGGGUGCUCGAGUGGCGAACGGGUGAGUAACACGUGAGUAACCUGCCCUUGACUUUGGGAUAACUUCAGGAAACUGGGGCUAAUACCGGAUAGGAGCUCCUGCUGCAUGGUGGGGGUUGGAAAGUUUCGGCGGUUGGGGAUGGACUCGCGGCUUAUCAGCUUGUUGGUGGGGUAGUGGCUUACCAAGGGUUUGACGGGUAGCCGGCCUGGGAGGGUGACCGGCCACAAUGGGACUGAGAUACGGCCCAGAGUCCUACGGGAGGCAGCAGUGGGGAAUAUUGCACAGUGGGCGGAAGUCUGAUGCAGCAACGCCGCGUGCGGGAUGACGGCCUUCGGGUUGUAAACCGCUUUCGCCUGAGACGAAGCGUGAGUGACGGUAAUGGGUAAAGAAGCACCGGCUAACUACGUG